AGUGAACGCUGGCGGUAGGCCUAACACAUGCAAGUCGAACGGCAGCACAGGAGAGCUUGCUCUCUGGGUGGCGAGUGGCGGACGGGUGAGGAAUACAUCGGAAUCUACUUUUUCGUGGGGGAUAACGUAGGGAAACUUACGCUAAUACCGCAUACGACCUACGGGUGAAAGCAGGGGACCUUCGGGCCUUGCGCGAUUGAAUGAGCCGAUGUCGGAUUAGCUAGUUGGCGGGGUAAAGGCCCACCAAGGCGACGAUCCGUAGCUGGUCUGAGAGGAUGAUCAGCCACACUGGAACGGAGACACGGUCCAGACUCCUACGGGAGGCAGCAGUGGGAAAUAUUGGACAAUGGGCGCAAGCCUGAUCCAGCCAUACCGCGUGGGUGAAGAAGGCCUUCGGGUUGUAAAGCCCUUUUGUUGGGAAAGAAAUCCAGCUGGCUAAUACCCGGUUGGGAUGACGGUACCCAAAGAAUAAGCACCGGCUAACUUCGUGCCAGCAGCCGCGGUAA
rnacentral:rRNA from 1 species